rnacentral:rRNA from 1 species
GACGAACGCUGGCGGCGUGCUUAACACAUGCAAGUCGAACGGAAAGGCCCGGCUUUUGUGGGGUGCUCGAGUGGCGAACGGGUGAGUAACACGUGAGUAACCUGCCCUUGACUUUGGGAGAACUUCAGGAAACAGGGGCUAAUACCGGAUAGGAGCUCCUGCUGCAUGGUGGGGGUUGGAAAGUUUCGGCGGUUGGGGAUGGACUCGCGGCUUAUCAGCUUGUUGGUGGGGUAGUGGCUUACCAAGGCUUUGACGGGUAGCCGGCCUGAGAGGGUGACCGGCCACAUUGGGACUGAGAUACGGCCCAGACUCCUACGGGACGCAGCAGUGGGGAAUAUUGCACAAUGGGCGGAAGCCUGAUGCAGCAACGCCGCGUGCGGGAUGACGGCCUUCGGGUUGUAAACCGCUUUCGCCUGUGACGAAGCGUGAGUGAUGGUAAUGGGUAAAGAAGCACCGGCUAACUACGUG